rnacentral:rRNA from 1 species
GACGAACGCUGGCGGCGUGCUUAACACAUGCAAGUCGAACGGAAAGGCCCUGCUUGCCGGGUGCUCGAGUGGCGAACGGGUGAGUAACACGUGGGUGAUCUGCCCCUUACUUUGGGAUAAGCCUGGGAAACUGGGUCUAAUACUGGAUAGGACCAUGCUGUAGGUGGUGUGGUGGAAAGAUUAGUUUCGGUAAGGGAUGAGCUCGCGGCCUAUCAGCUUGUUGGUGGGGUAAUGGCCUACCAAGGCGUCGACGGGUAGCCGGCCUGAGAGGGUGGACAGCCACAUUGGGACUGAGAUACGGCCCAGACUCCUACGGGAGGCAGCAGUGGGGAAUAGUGCACAAUGGGCGCAAGCCUGAUGCAGCGACGCCGCGUGGGGGAUGACGGCCUUCGGGUUGUAAACUCCUUUCAGCCAUGACGAAGCCCUUGUGGUGACGGUAGUGGUAGAAGAAGCACCGGCUAACUACGUG